AAAAAUAAAAUUAAUAAAAGUAAAAUUAAUAAAAAUAAUUUUUAAAUAUUUUAAUGGGGGGUUAAAGUAUUAAAAAAGAAAUAAUAAAAAAUUUUAUAAUAAAUUAGUAUUGUGAAAGAAUUUUGAAAAAUUUUAUAAUAAAUAAAUUAUUUAAAAGUAAUUUUAAUUUAAUGUAUCUUGUGUAUCAGAGUUUAUUAAUAAUAAAAUAUAAAUGAUAUUAUUCUCGAAUUUAAAAGAGUUAAUUAAUUAAUAAAAUUAUUGUUGAAAAAAUAUUUUUAAUAAUUAAUUUGAAAUGAAAUGUUAAUCGUUUUUAAAUAUAUCUAGUUUUUUUAGAACUAAAUUUAAUUUAAUUUUUUUAUUAAUUUAAAAAUUAAUUAAUCAAUUUUUAAAAUAAAAAAAUAAAUAUUUUAAGGGAUAAGCUUUAAAAUAAAUUUUUAUAAUAAAUUAAAAUUUUUAAUUAAAAAUAUUAUAAUUUACAUUUUUAAUAAAUUUUAAUUUUUUAUAAAUAAUUUUAAUUAAAAAUAAAAUUUUAAAUUUAUUUAAUUUUAUAAAUAAAAAAAAUAAAAUAAAUUAUAUAUUUUAUUAUAAUAUGAUAAAAUUAGUAUAUUUAUAAAUUUUAUAAAAUUUUUAUAAAAAUUAAUUUAAUUAAAGGAAUUUGGCAAAUAUAUAUAUUUACCUGUUUAUCAAAAACAUGUCUUUUUGAUUAUAAUUUAAAGUCUAGUCUGCCCACUGAUAAAUUAUUAAAGGGCUGCAGUAUAUUGACUGUACAAAGGUAGCAUAAUCAUUAGUCUUUUAAUUGAAGACUUGUAUGAAUGAUUUGAUAAGAUAUAAACUGUCUCUGAUUGAUUAAAUAAAAUUUAAUUUUUUAUUUAAAAAGUUAAAAUGAUUAAAAAAGACGAGAAGACCCUAUAGAGUUUUAUAAAUAUAAUAAAUUUUAUUUUAUAUAAAAUUUUAAUUAAAAUUAUUUUAUUUAUUUUGUUGGGGUGAUAAAAAAAUAAAAAUAACUUUUUUUAAUAAGGAACAAUAAUAUUUGAUUAUAUGAUCCAUAAUUUAUGAUUAAAAGAUUAAAUUACCUUAGGGAUAACAGCGUAAUUUUUUUUUUUAGUCCAAAUAGGAAAAAAAGUUUGCGACCUCGAUGUUGGAUUAAGAUAAAAUUUAAAUGCAAAAGUUUAAAAUUUUGAUCUGUUCGAUCAUUAAAAUCUUACAUGAUCUGAGUUCAAACCGGUGUGAGCCAGGUUGGUUUCUAUCUUUUUAAAAAUAUAAUAAUUUAGUACGAAAGGAUCAAUUAUUAAAAAUAGUUUUAUAAAAUAUUAGAAUUUUAAUAAUUUAUUGAUAAAUAA
rnacentral:rRNA from 1 species